GACGAACGCUGGCGGCGUGCCUAACACAUGCAAGUCGAACGGGGUAAGAAGCUUCGGUUUCUUACUUAGUGGCGAACGGGUGAGUAACGCGUGAGAAACCUGCCUUUCAGUGGGGGACAACAGUUGGAAACGACUGCUAAUACCGCAUAAUGUUAUUUGGGGGCAUCCCUGAAUAACCAAAGAUUUAUUGCUGAAAGAUGGUCUCGCGUCUGAUUAGCUAGAUGGCGGGGUAACGGCCCACCAUGGCGACGAUCAGUAGCCGGUCUGAGAGGAUGAACGGCCACAUUGGGACUGAGAUACGGCCCAGACUCCUACGGGAGGCAGCAGUGGGGAAUAUUGGGCAAUGGGGGAAACCCUGACCCAGCAACGCCGCGUGAAGGAAGAAGGCCUUCGGGUUGUAAACUUCUUUUACCAGGGACGAACAAAUGACGGUACCUGGAGAAAAAGCAACGGCUAACUACGUGCCAGCAGCCGCAGUAAGAC
rnacentral:rRNA from 1 species